rnacentral:rRNA from 1 species
UACAGAGGUCUCAAGCGUUGUUCGGAUUCAUUGGGCGUAAAGAGCGUGUAGGCGGCCAGAUAAGUCCGCUGUGAAAUCUCGAGGCUCAACUUCGAGCUGUCGGUGGAAACUAUCUGGCUAGAGUCCGGAAGAGGAGAAUGGAAUUCCUGGUGUAGCGGUGAAAUGCGCAGAUAUCAGGAAGAACACCCGUGGCGAAGGCGGUUCUCUGGGACGGUACUGACGCUGAGACGCGAAAGCGUGGGGAGCGAACAGG